rnacentral:misc_RNA from 1 species
GCGAGUAUGGCCCUCACGGGUCUAAUCCACCAUAAACACCUUUGUGAACCAGUCAGGGGGGGCUCGGCCGUGAAAGCCCAGGCGAUUAGCGGAAGGGCCCUCCUUUGCAAACCCGUUUAGAAGUCUUGAAAGUACUUUUGUAUAAUCUAGUA